rnacentral:lncRNA from 1 species
GCCCUGUCUCCACAUAGUAUCACCUUGGGAAUUACAGCCUCAACAUCGGAACUGUGUAUCUGGAGCAGGAGGAAGGACACAAUUCAGUCCACAGCAGGUGGGAAGCGCGGACUCUAGAACUGGCUGCCCGGUGUGGGCAAUGUCACCAAGAGCAAUUGGGCUUCUGUAAGCAGCCUGAAGACUUCCGAAAGGAUAUGGCUGAUAGGUAACACCAGGUCAAGAUGACCGGGUCUCAGCUGGCAGUGUGGGAGGAAGAAAGCCAG